GUCGGCCGGAGCGCCGAACUACCUUGACACGGUAGAGGUCACUGGUUCGAGUCCAGUAUCGCCCACCA
rnacentral:tRNA from 1 species